GUGCACUGUGAUGACGAAUGUCAUCGAACAAAAAAAACUCGUAUGGUUGAAUGUACGUGAAAUUGUAGGUAUAGCCUACGAACUAUACACAACUUUCGACAACGGAUCUCUUGGUUCUCCCAUCGAUGAAGAACGCAGCGAAACGCGAUAGGUAAUGUGAAUUGCAGAAUUCCGUGAAUCAUCGAAUCUUUGAACGCACCUUGCGCUCCAUGGUAUUCCGUGGAGCAUGCCUGUUUGAGUGCCGCGAAUUCUCCCUCCCCUUACGGUGGCCGAAAGGCCGAAGUAGGGCGGACGGGGUAGGAUGGGUGUUGCUGCCUGGGGAUUGUACCAGGCUCGCCCGAAAUGCAUAAGCGCCAGGACCCUCGCUACCGCUCUCUAGGGAAGAGUGGCUAAGCGACCGCUGAGCAUGGCAUGAUACGUCAUUUGCUGUGUGUGGGCGGCCGGUUGGAGAGGUGUCUGCUUUACCAGCCCUUUUUUAAUUCUGGUCUCAAAUCAGGUAGGAUCACCCGCUG
rnacentral:rRNA from 1 species